rnacentral:rRNA from 1 species
CGAGUGGCGAACGGGUGAGUAACGCGUGAGGAACCUGCCUCAAAGAGGGGGACAACAGUUGGAAACGACUGCUAAUACCGCAUAAGCCCACGACCCGGCAUCGGGUAGAGGGAAAAGGAGCAAUCCGCUUUGAGAUGGCCUCGCGUCCGAUUAGCUAGUUGGUGAGGUAACGGCCCACCAAGGCGACGAUCGGUAGCCGGACUGAGAGGUUGAACGGCCACAUUGGGACUGAGACACGGCCCAG